UGAACGCUAGCGACAGGCUAACACAUGCGAAGCGAGGGCGAGCACGGGAGUAGCAAUACAACUGGUGGCGACCGGCGCACGGUGAGUAACGCGUAUGCAACCUACCUAUCAGAGGGGAAGUAACCCGGCGAAAGUCGGACUAAUACCGCAUAAAACAGGGGCACCGCAUGGUGAUAUUUGUUAAAGAGAUUCGCUGAUAGAUGGGCAUGCGUUCCAUUAGGUAGUUGGUGAGGUAACGGCUCACCAAGCCGACGAUGGAUAGGGGAACUGAGAGGUUGGUCCCCCACACUGGUACUGAGACACGGACCAGACUCCUACGGGAGGCAGCAGUGAGGAAUAUUGGUCAAUGGGCGGGAGCCUGAACCAGCCAAGUCGCGUGAAGGAAAAGAAGGAUCUAUGGUUCGUAAACUUCUUUUGCAGGGGAAUAAAGUGCAGGACGUGUCCUGUUUUGUAUGUACCCUGAGAAUAAGGAUCGGCUAACUCCGUGCCAGCAGCAGC
rnacentral:rRNA from 1 species